GAUGGCUCCCGGGGCCCUGGCGAGCCGGCUUUAGGACAGUGAAUGGUCGCUGCCUCCCAAGUCAAUGGCCUCUGUGGGAAAGGCAAUGAUGUCACCGCGAAUGUAUUUUCGGGGUUUUGCCCUGCUUUUUCCUGCUUUCUCCCCUUCUUAGGACGAUGCCCUGGUUUCCUUUUUCUUCCCCCUCUUUUCUCUCUCCUGCCAUCUCCCUCCUCCCGCUUCUUUGAGGCCAUUCUUUUUUUUCUUUUUCCCCUCCAAAGUUGAGAACUCAAAUCCAUUCAAGGCGCACAGCAAUACCACUCCCAUGGCAACACUGGGCUUCUACGCUUCAGUUUUUGCAUAAAAAGUAGAAAAUGCUGGAAAGGGAGGGCAAGGGUGGAAGGGGGAACGGAGCCAGCCUGGCCCCACAGGGGUUGGUGUCGGGUGGGAGAGCACAGAAGAAAAUCGGGAAGAAAACUGGUGAGGCCGGCGGGAGACUGGGAGACACCGAUGUGUGAGCCUCCGCGUUCAGACUUCAAACACGGAUCUGGCUUCUGACGUGCGACAGCCGAGGAAGAAAAACACAGUGUGCGCAAGAAAUGAGGUUUUGCUUUUGAAAAUGUACCCAAUUACAGUUUACAGAAAGCUCCCCAAACUUCGUCGAGCCUUCUCAAAGAGAAACAAAAAGGAGAGGAAAAGUCUCGCAAGGACUUGAGUGGGGACGGGGCAGAAAACAAGUUGACGUGUUUUUGAGAACGCCCAAGGUUCUGGAGGCCCCUAUUGUCACAGGGCCACAAUCAGAAAGUCUAAAGUGCCAUUUGUGUCAAAUCAACUCAAAUUCAUUGACGGCAAAUAGAAAGAGGCAUUCAUUCCUCUGCUUUCCUCUCCUGGGGAAUACAGUUACCUUGAACUCCUGAAAACAAAACAAAACAAAGCAAAACAAACAACAAAACCCCAAAAACCAAAUACCAAAAAACAAAAAAAAAAAAAACCAAAAAAACCAUUACAUGGCUAUGCUUUAUGUUCAUCCUAUCAAAAACCAGAUACCAAACAAUCUGGUAAAGGCAGCUUCUGGAAAACCCAAAUAAUUGGUCCCAUGAAAGCCAGAGCUAGCAGGUUGGGCCAUUUGUCACGCAGACAUCGAUCUGCCUUUUCCCUUCGGUCACCCAGGGUUCCUCCCCGUUGGUAUCUACCACCUGACCUGUGUGAGCCUGCAUCCAAUUCCUGAGUUCUUGGUGACUGCUUCUAAUUCUCUCUUCUACCUACUUCGCCCAUAUUAAUCAGCUGUGGUUUAAGCACUGUGUUUUCCAUGUG
rnacentral:lncRNA from 1 species